rnacentral:rRNA from 1 species
AUGUGGUCGCCGGCGAUAUCAACAAAGAAGACAUUAGUAGCUCCUCUGGCUUCUCUACCGGAGCAGGUGGUGGCUCCUCAGCCUCAGCCGGGUGUUCGUCUGCCGUGGUUGUUGCCUCCCCUGCCCCCACAUGUGGUCGUCGCCGACGAGAACGAAGAAGAGGUCCUAAGUGACGACGUUGAUAGCGACCCAGAAACCCAGAGGAUCUACAGGAGGCAGAAGGUGAGGCAGCUGGAUAGUGGUGAGCUCGAGAAAUGUGUGAGGCCUAGAUUCGGAAAGGGCUACGAAUGCCCUUACUGCAGCAAGGUGAUGAAAGGCGACCUAUCGAGUACCAUUAACCAUGCAGUCGGAACAUCCCAAGGCAGCAUGAAGCAUGGCCACGCUUUCAGGGUGAAGCACGCCGCGUAUGUUGACUACUUGAUGAGGCUUCUUUAA